UACGAAGGGGGCUAGCGUUGCUCGGAAUGACUGGCGUAAAGGGCGCGUAGGCGGCGGUCACAGUCAGAUGUGAAAUUCCUGGGCUUAACUGGGGGCUGCAUUUGAUACGUGGUUGCUUGAGUGGGGAAGAGGGUCGUGGAAUUCCCAGUGUAGAGGUGAAAUGCGUAGAUAUUGGGAGAACACCAGUGGCGAAGGCGGGUCUCUGGGCCGAUACUGACGCUGAGGAGGCGAAAA
rnacentral:rRNA from 1 species